GCAAAGCUUUCAGCUGGCCCAUAUUUGGAUCUGCAUGUGCCGCUAGGGAGGAGGGCAGGGUCCCCCCCCCACAUCUGAGGCGUGUCAGGGACCUGCCCAGUUGCCGGGGCUCUCCUGCUUGGUAGCCCCAAGAGAACCCCUUGUCCCUUGGAUGGUCUCAACAUUGGGGAUCACUUGCCCCCCCUCCCCGGACUUCACCAUGGACUGAGGGAGGGGCAGCUGCUCUGAAGAGACCCAGAAGCUUGGCUGCCCCAGGGUCUGUCCGUCUCCAGGAAUGACCGGCCAUCAUCUUCGCUCCCUGGCUCAGCACUGCAGCAGGAAUGAGAGGGAAGCCCCUUCUUCUGUAUCCUGAGGCUGCCGGGGCCACGGAGGCAGACGGUGCCCAUCACAAGCAGCUCUGGCCUCAGCCCCACUGGAGACGGCGCCCACCACCGAAGCAACGAGCCGCACAAGCUCUGGUGCAGCCAUGCCAGGGUUGGAUGCCAAUGAGACUUCAAGUCAUGGGUCAAACUCGG